UGGGCAGGGAACAGCCCUGAAAUGUGGCGAGAUGACUGGCUUCAAGCAGGAGACUAAAGACAUGCCUUCCUAUGGUCUGUUGGCCAUGUCAGAACUUAGGAAAUAGAAUGGUCAAUUGAUUAGAAAGAAACAUCU